AUUGCAAGAGGCUGUGAAAGUGCCUUGUGUAAACUGUCUAAAUGAAAUUUUAAACGGUAAAGUUUUAGAUACCCACUUGGGCUUGAGGUGGAAGCAUUGUCUUUUCUCUGAAGACAGUGGCCUUCAGUUGCCUUGCUUCUGAGGAUUACCAAAUGAAUAGCUUCCUUUUUUGAAGCAAAACUAUAAUCAAGGCAACUCGGUUUAACAGCUUGUUCCAGAAAAAAAUCUAUUUUUUUAAAGGUUAUUCAAUGAUGGGCCCUACUACUCCCUUAUUUGUCACUUUUUGAAAAUAUUUAAUAAUUCCUAAUGGUGCCUACCAGCCAGCCAGAAGCCUUACCGAAAGCAGGAAGCCAGCCAAACUAAUGUUCCAGGUGCCACUGCCCACAUGUUACCAGGGAGGGUGUUGAGGGAUAAGAGAUUCUGCAUUCACGGCCAAGUUUGCUGUCUGUUACACAGACCUCAGUUACUAGGGCCUUUUGAAGCCAGGGCCUUGAAUGACGUUGUGUGGAGUGGGCAGUUCAGGCCUGAAGAAGGAGCUCAGAUGUUGGUAGAUCUGAGGGGUCAUAGAAAAUGUUCUUUGUACCAUAUGCUAUCUUGGUGGCUGCUCCACAUCAGAAAGAAAUUGAGCCUAAUUUCUUGAAGUGAUGUGUGCGUGUGCUAAGUCUCUUCAGUCAUGUCCUGCUCUUUGUAACCCCAUGGACUGUAGUCCGCCAGUACUCUUGCCUGGAAAAUCCCAUGGAUAGAGCAGCCUAGAAGGCUACAGUCCAUGAGGUUGCUGAGAGUCGGACACGACUGAGCAACUUCACUUUCACGCAUUGGAGAAGGAAAUGGCAACCCACGCCAGUGUUCUUGCCUGGAGAAUCCCAGGGACGGGGUUGCCUGGUGGGCUGCCGUCUAUGGGGUCACAGAGUUGGACACGACUGAAGCGACUUAGCAGCAGCACAUGCAUUGAGAUGUGUCCUGUGCCUUCAGGAGGAUUUCUGCCCAUUCUUGAGGUUAGAAGGACCCUUGGUCCCAAGCCCCUCAGCACAUGGAGAAACUGUGUCCCGAGAAAAGAGUAGGGGGUGUUUGAUGAGCCUGGGAGCCAGGUUCCCCCUGUACUCUGGCCACCAGGCAGGUCAGUGUCUCCAUAGACCGCCACAUGGGGGUACACGCCUCCGGUUGCGUUUGUGCUGUCGCAGCCUGGGUGACAGUCUGCCUUUCGAGAACUCACGGGGCACUUGCACUGGAUGUGCGUCAGUAGGUGAGGAGGAUGUGAAAAUGGGAGGGAUGGUUUCUCAGGCAAAGUGAAGACCUCUGGCUGCACAGGGGCUGCUGCUUAGUUCCUCACGGGGCUGCCCUGUCCCGCCGCCUGUGUCCACCGUCCAUGUCCUCCCAGUGUGGAGAAUGGGAGCGCUAGGGAUGAACCUCCAGCCCCUGGAGCCGCGUCAGCUAAGGGGACUUAUGGACAUUUUUUGGCAGAUGGCUGGACCUGGAAGAAGGCUACAGUGGAACUUUAAGAUCUGGGAAAUCUGCAGAGUUGAGGCCAAAUCCAAGUCUUCUGGUCCUUCUCAUUAACCCUUUACCGUGACUGACUGAGACUGGGGACAUUCUCUGAAGCCAGGCUGCUCCAGCUAGCCACAGCCAGGUUUCAGGCUCCCUCUCAGUUGAAGCAGACUUGUUUGCAGACUGGGCUGUCUUCUUCCCCAUGAGAGCCGGUGUUCUGUGGCGAAGUCAGUAAGAGGGGUAGUCACGGAGGAGCCUCCUGGUUCUGUCACUGAUAGGCUGUUGUUAUGUCAGGAAAGCCCUUCCUCCCCUUGUGCCCAUUUCUCUCACUUGGUUCUGAGGGUGUGGGGGUACCAGACUGGGGGAGCACAGUGUAGCAUGGGAGAAAAACAGCACCAGCCAAACCCCAGCUUGUCCCCUUGCAGCCACUGAAGUAUGGAGAGGUGGCCAGCCUCCUGGGGUGGGGUGAGCGUCUGUCUGCACCUGGCUUGCUGGAUGUUCAGUCAGAACUCAACCAAAGGCAGGGGUUUCAAAGCCAUAUUUUUAUGUUAAACUCCUGUCGUGUUGAAUGAAUGGUUCCAUGAAGCUCGUAAAUUAAUUUUUUAUUGCCAUGUGCUAACUCCCAGUUCCUAUCAGUCACGCAGUAUUCCAGCUCCUUUUGCACUUGGCAACCUGAGAGGCUCCAGGGAAGCACGGGACUGUCCCUGUCCCCCAGGAAGCUUGUUGUUAGCGGUGAUGAGAAGAUGCGGAGUGUGGUUAGUGGGGGGGGGGUCUCUCUGGUCAUCCUGUGCCUGCUCACCAGGGAACAGAGAAGAGUCCCUGAGGUGGCUGGGCCCCUGGGACUGCUUCCCGGAGGAGGCAGGCGCCAUCUGAGCUGACAGCAAGGGGCAGGGCAGGGAGCAGCGCAACGAGACCUGCCGUUCUUGAGGCCCAAAGGAAGAUGGACCGUCAGAGCAGGACGGACGCUGUCGCCUCCAGAGAAGACUGACACGAGGCCGGUCCGUCUUGUCUGGAGUUUUUGCCUGAGUGGAUGAGAGGUGUUGGUUUGGGGGAUGUCUCUG
ensembl:lncRNA